rnacentral:rRNA from 1 species
UAAUACGAAGGGUGCAAGCGUUACUCGGAAUUACUGGGCGUAAAGCGUGCGUAGGCGGUUUGUUAAGUCUGAUGUGAAAUCCCCGGGCUCAACCUGGGACGUGCAUUGGAAACUGGCGAUCUAGAGUACGGUAGAGGGUGGUGGAAUUCCCGGUGUAGCAGUGAAAUGCGUAGAGAUCGGGAGGAACACUCGUGGCGAAGGCGGCCACCUGGACCAGUACUGACGCUGAGGCACGAAAGCGUGGGGAGCAAACAGGA